rnacentral:rRNA from 1 species
UACGUAGGGGGCUAGCGUUGUCCGGAAUCAUUGGGCGUAAAGCGCGUGUAGGCGGCCCGAUAAGUCCGCUGUGAAAGUCCAGGGCUCAACCCUGGGAUGCCGGUGGAUACUGUCGGGCUCGAGUCCGGAAGAGGCGAGUGGAAUUCCUGGUGUAGCGGUGAAAUGCGCAGAUAUCAGGAGGAACACCGGCGGUGUAGACGGCUUUCUAGACCGUAGCUGACGCUGAGACACGAAAGCGUGGGUAGCAAACAGG